AGAGGGUGCGAGCGUUAAUCGGAAUUACUGGGCGUAAAGCGCGCGUAGGCGGCUUUGCAAGUCGGGUGUGAAAUCCCCAGGCUUAACCUGGGAACUGCAUUCGAGACUGCAUUGCUAGAGUAUGGGAGAGGGAAGUGGAAUUUCCGGUGUAGCGGUGAAAUGCGUAGAUAUCGGAAGGAACAUCAGUGGCGAAAGCGACUUCCUGGACCAAUACUGACGCUCAUGUGCGAAAGCGUGGGGAGCGAACAGGAUUAGAUACCCUGGUAGUCCACGCCAUAAACGAUGAGAACUGGAUGUCGGGAGGGUCUGCCUCUCGGUGUCGUAGCUAACGCGUUAAGUUCUCCGCCUGGGGAGUACGGCCGCAAGG
rnacentral:rRNA from 1 species